CGAGAAAGACGCAGCCUCCGAAAUCAUCAAAGUCAUCCAGAACUGCUUCCUCAGCAACAGGAGUCGGACCUAUGACAUGAUCCAGUAUUACCAGAACCAGAUCCCGUACUGAGCAUGUGCAUAUUUUAGCUGGUACAUAGUGUGCGUGUGUGCUCGUAUGUGCCUUUUGUUGAUGUUCAACAUUGAAGAUUGUGGCUCAUGGUUUCUGCUGCGGGUUGGAUGUUUUCUUAUUUCCUCUCAAACCAUUUUUCUUAGUUGUCUAUCCCCUUAUUUAUUAUUUUCUAAACCAAUGUUGUUUUUAACCGUUACGUUAUUGCACUUGCAUCUUGACUUCUGUGCGCUUUGGUAAAAUAAACCUUCUCGUUAAUUUGCACAUUCCGUAAAUACCUAAUUAGAUAUUUGGUGCCGAUUUUGAAUCUCUUGUCAUGUUUGUGAACGUGGAUUCCUUGAGUUGUUGAUUUUAGGGGUUUGGAGUGGAAUCAUACACUUGAAGUAGCUAAAGAAGACCGCUUUCAGUCCUGACCAGUGUGGCCUAUUGCGUCAUCUUGUACCUGACGGUACUACUGUGUUUUUUCUUUGACGGACCGAUCUGAGUACUUUGAUCUGUAGCAUGGUACUGUAUGUAGACGAGUACUGUGUGUAUUAUGGGGUGUCUGUAUUUGUAGUUACCACGGGAAACUUAUGCACACAAGUUCUGGGAAACAGGGUGGGUUAGUGUUUUAUAUUUAGCGUUGCCAAAGGGAGGGGGCGGGGGGUAAAUGAUGCACAUGAAUCAAACUUUUCCAUUGUUUGUGCAUGAAGGUGAAACACAGCUUGAAUGUCGGGCAGUUGCAUGAAGUUAAGCGUAAACUACCAUGUGGCUUUUGGUGGGAGCUUCUUUCGUAAUCCAAAGUGCUGUGCCCCAUGUCCGUGUGGGUAGCUUAAGCCAUCUUCUGAUGUUACUGAUUCUAAAGAUUUUGCCUCUUUGUAUAUUUAUAGCCAUAGCCCAUUUUCAUUCUCCUUUUCUAUUGUCAUGCCUUUUGAAUGAGAACGCAUGAGAUAAAAAAAAUCACAUAAAUAUCUAUUGACUUAAAAAAAUUGUUUUGCUGGUUGUGUUCGAUUCAUUUGUAUAGUAUAUAAGUAUAAUAUAACCCAAGUAUUAUAUAUUACUUUUACAGGACAUUUUUCCUCUUGCAUAGAAUGUAGUUUGACAUUUUAAAAACUUUUUCACAAACUGUACUUUUUUUUUUCAUCAUAUAGUAGUAUGUCUU
ensembl:lncRNA